GAACGUCACGCGCGCUCUACUUCCUGCUUCCGGUGUCGCUUUCUUCGCGGAUGUGAGCUGUUUAACGUUCACGCAUGUCGUCGCUCAUUCUGCCGCCAACACAAUCAGGCUGUUUAAAGCAUGUAAGCUGGCAGAGUUAAGUCAAGUUCCACUUGACAUGCAGCCUGCUGGGAAGUUGCCCACCGCCCGUGUCCCAAAGCCAGACGUCACAAUUGACUUUGCAGAGGGCUCAGCACCCUCUGACGUCCCGUGUGCCGUCAUGGAGUGCCGGGAUAUGACGUCGCACAAGAAUGGGCGCCAAAGAAAGCUAGCGGGUCUCUGCCCCCCACCCCAGGCCAUGGUGGACGGCUCUGAGACCGGGCUCCUGGAGGAGGAGGCGGACUUCCUCGCCGCGGGGUCGGACUCGGAGGACAGGAGGCCUCCUGGGAUCCGUGGCGGGAUUCGGUCGGAGCUGGGAAACAUCUUGCUUCUUCUUUUCCUUUACGUGCUGCAAGGGAUUCCUCUGGGACUGGCCGGCAGCAUUCCGUUGAUCCUCCAGAGUCAGAGCGUCAGCUACAGGGACCAGGCCAUCUUCAGCUUUGUUUUCUGGCCCUUUAGCCUCAAGCUGGUGUGGGCGCCGCUUGUGGACGCACUUUACUUCAGGAAGUUUGGUCGGAGGAAGUCCUGGUUGGUACCCACACAGUACCUGCUGGGCCUCUUCAUGAUUUACUUGUCCUUGAGAGUGGACUACCUGCUGCGGGGGGAAGGAGGCCCCGACAUACUGGCGCUCACUGCCGUCUUCUUCAUGCUGGCCUUUCUGGCGGCCACACAGGACAUCGCGGUGGACGGCUGGGCCCUCACCAUGCUGUCCAGAGAGAACGUGGGCUACGCGUCCACCUGCAACUCAGUGGGUCAGACAGCAGGUUACUUCCUGGGCAACGUGCUCUUCCUGGCGCUGGAGUCUGCCGACUUCUGCAACAAAUACCUGCGCGCGCAGCCCCAGGACACGGGCAUCGUCACCUUGUCAGACUUCCUCUUCUUCUGGGGCGUGGUCUUCCUGGUGUCCACCACGCUGGUGGCCGUGUUGAAAAGUGAGAGCGUGCGUCACAAAGGCAGGCGGCGAGUGGAGGAGGAGACGCAGGGCGUGUGCGAGACCUACAAGCUGCUGUUCAGCAUCAUCAAGAGGCCCGCCGUCUUCACCUUCUGUGCGCUGCUCCUCACCGCCAAAGUGGGCUUCUCGGCGGCCGACGCAGUGACGGGUCUGAAGCUGGUGGAGGCCGGCGUUCCCAAGGCGCAGUUGGCACUGCUGGCGGUGCCCAUGGUGCCUCUGCAGAUCCUCCUGCCGCUCCUCAUCAGUAAAUACACGGCAGGACCCAGGCCGCUGGACGUCUUCUACAAGGCCUUCCCCUUCAGGUUGAUCAUCGGUCUGGAGUUUGCUUUGCUGGUGUGGUGGACGCCCAGCAUGAGAGGAGAGGAAGGCUUCCCUCUUCACUACUACGGCCUGGUGCUGCUCAGCUACGCCCUGCAUCAGGUGACUUUGUACAGCAUGUACGUGGCCUGCAUGGCCUUCCACGCCAAGGUGAGCGACCCCCUGAUCGGCGGCACCUACAUGACGCUGCUCAACACGCUCACCAACCUGGGAGGCAACUGGCCCUCCACGGUGGCGCUCUGGCUGGUGGACCCGCUCACCUGGAAGGAGUGCCAAGGUGCGGCCGGCCUCACUUGCUCCUCCCCCGAGGCGGCCAAGAUGUGCGCCAGGGAGGGCGGCGCCUGCGUCACUACCUUGGACGGUUACUACGUGGAGUCGGUGGUUUGCGUCUUGAUGGGCGUGGCCUGGUGGGCGUGGCUUGGGAAGAAGAUGACAAGGUUGCAGGAUCAAAGUCCUGCGGCUUGGAGGUGCAGAGUCUGAAUCCUCCUCCUAGAACCUUCUUUCUCUCGCCACAUCAGAACUAUUUAGUCUCAACAGGACUAGAACCUUCUUUCAGUCGCCACAUCAGGACUAUUUAGUCUCAACAGGACUAGAACCUUCUUUCAGUCGCCACAUCAGGACUACUUAGUCUCAACAGGACUAGAACCUUCUUUCAGUCGCCACAUGACAACAUCAGAACUAUUUAGACUCAACAGGACUAGAACCUUCUUUCUGUCGCCACAUCAGGACUACUUAGUCUCAACAGGACUAGAACCUUCUUUCAGUCGCCACAUCAGGACUACUUAGUCUCAACAGGACUAGAACCUUCUUUCAGUCGCCACAUGACAACAUCAGAACUAUUUAGACUCAACAGGACUAGAACCUUCUUUCAGUCGCCACAUCAGGACUACUUAGUCUCAACAGGACUAGAACCUUCUUUCGGUCGCCACAUCAGGACUACUUAGUCUCAACAGGACUAGAACCUUCUUUCAGUCGCCACAUGACAACAUCAGGACUACUUAGUCUCACAGGACUAGAACCUUCUUUCAGUCGCCACAUGACAACAUCAGAACUAUUUAGACUCAACAGGACUAGAACCUUCUUUCUGUCGCCACAUCAGGACUACUUAGUCUCAACAGGACUAGAACCUUCUUUCAGUCGCCACAUGACAACAUCAGAACUAUUUAGACUCAACAGGACUAGAACCUUCUUUCAGUCGCCACAUCAGGACUACUUAAUCUCAACAGGACUAGAACCUUCUUUCAGUCGCCACAUGACAACAUCAGAACUAUUUAGACUCAACAGGACUAGAACCUUCUUUCUGUCGCCACAUCAGGACUACUUAGUCUCAACAGGACUAGAACCUUCUUUCAGUCGCCACAUGACAACAUCAGAACUAUUUAGACUCAACAGGACUAGAACCUUCUUUCAGUCGCCACAUCAGGACUACUUAAUCUCAACAGGACUAGAACCUUCUUUCAGUCGCCACAUCAGGACUACUUAAUCUCAACAGGACUAGAACCUUCUUUCAGUCGCCACAUCAGGACUACUUAGUCUCAACAGGACUAGAACCUUCUUUCUGUCGCCACAUGACAACAGGACUAUUUAGUCUCACAGGACUAGAACCUUCUUUCAGUCGCCACAUGACAACAUCAGAACUAUUUAGACUCAACAGGACUAGAACCUUCUUUCUGUCGCCACAUCAGGACUACUUAGUCUCAACAGGACUAGAACCUUCUUUCAGUCGCCACAUGACAACAUCAGAACUAUUUAGACUCAACAGGACUAGAACCUUCUUUCAGUCGCCACAUCAGGACUACUUAAUCUCAACAGGACUAGAACCUUCUUUCAGUCGCCACAUGACAACAUCAGAACUAUUUAGACUCAACAGGACUAGAACCUUCUUUCAGUCGCCACAUCAGGACUACUUAGUCUCAACAGGACUAGAACCUUCUUUCAGUCGCCACAUCAGGACUACUUAAUCUCAACAGGACUAGAACCUUCUUUCAGUCGCCACAUCAGAACUAUUUAGUCUCAACAGGACUAGAACCUUCUUUCAGUCGCCACAUGACAACAUCAAAACUAUGUGACUUCUAUCAAUUCUUCAUAUUUCCACGCCAUAGCUGUACCUAAUGAUGUGGCCAAUGAGUGGGAUUACAUCAUCAGGUUGCAAAGUGGAAAUAUUGAUCAAUUAUUCCUUUUUGUUCUAUUGAAGACUGUAAUGAAGUUAUAUUCUAGAGUGAAAUGACUUGCACUACACACAAAUGUUUUACUCACAUCAGACGAGUCACAAGUAAAAACUAAAGUAUUUUCUUCACUUAAAAAUACAAUUUUCAAGUAUUUUCAAGUUAAAACCUUUAUUUCACGCUCGAGGGAAAUCGUAAGUUUUCUUUUUCUUUUGUCCGCCAUUUUUGUCCCCGCCCUCCUGCUUUUUUUUUUUUUUUUUUGGGGCGGAGGGCACCAUGCGCAAAUAAGUCGUGCUGAUGGCCUUAAAUUGACUCUGCAGCGCCACCUGUGGUCGUGGAGUGUGACUACACUGAGUGGAAUGUUGCUGGCAGAACUUUAACUUGAAGGAAAUUGUUUUUAUAUAAAUAACUUCUUUUUAAUUAAAAUUAAAUCUUUUUUUUUUCACUUGCAAAUCAUUGGGUAAAAACAUUUGUUUGGAGUUUUGGCAAUAAAUACACUCUAAAAUUUACUAUACAAUUAUUUUUAGAUUAAUAAAAAAAAAAUACAUUCACGGGUUUAUUUUAUAUAAUUUAAUGCAGUCAAAUUUCCAGUUUUUUAAAUGAUGCUGCAGAUAUUUUUUAAAUUCCUAGUAUAUUCCCCAAAAGUUUCCACUAUUGCAACAUUAACUUGGCUGCAGUUUUUCAACACAAUGUCUCAAAUCACAAGGAGUCAGAUGUGCCUUUUUUCUCUUUAAACUUCAUCUCACAUUCCUCUUCUUAGCAUCACAGCUUAUUAAAAAAAAACCUCGUGGGCUCAAAAUGUUUUCGGAAGCGUCGCAGAUUUAUUGUUGCUCAACAUUUGUUUGAAGGUCAACUCUUUGUGAGUUUGCAGUUGUUUGCAUUCCAAACAGCACCUCUGCUGGUGGCAGGCCAGUACUUCACCUCAAACAUGACUGCACUUUUUCCUUCAACAAAAUAGCAAGUUGUUUGUUUUCCACUCUGAAGAAGUUUACUGCAGCACACUUGAAAUAAAGAUGAAAAACUACAAAAACA